AAUCCAUGAGAUAUAUUUCUAAUAAAUAGAAUAGAUCCCAGAGUAUGGGCUUCGAAAGCAUGCCCCUCUCCUGAUCUAAAUAGCCGAAUCCAAAGAGGCAACUCUACUCUUUUCACUAUACACCAUAAUGACUCGGGUAAACCAUCAAGUGAACGAGAGCCUGAGAGCAGGUAAUCAAAACCCAGUUAGGUUAGACAAAAACUAAGCAUACAGGUAGAUAAAGUGCUAAAUCGGAGACAAAGUAUAGAAUUCUCCGAGUAUACCGGCUAUAGUGGAGUGAAUAAGGAAAGAGCUUAUUGACCGCGCAUCCAUCCCUUUACUAGCCUGAGCCUACUUUAGCUGAGUUCUCCUAGAGUGCUGUCUCCCCCAAUCCAAGCAAUAGAAUCAAGAUGAUGGAAAAGGUACUUCAAUAGCAUCGGUAAGCCUAUAAAUGAUAAGUCAAGCCGGGCCGAGGUAAUACUUUUUCAGUCAAAUAGAGGAGGCCGAGGUAUCAUCUAACUUUAGAGCAAUUAUGCUUUCAAUCCGGAGGAAAUCCAAAAGUAAUGGAUUGGGCUUAGGGACCAGAAGAAGGAAAUGUUUACUGCCAGUGGUAAAAGAAUGUUUAUGGUUACGGCUCGAUUCGAGUCCAGAUGUUUAGGGAGGAUACAUUUCGUCCGAUGCUUCCUAUCCUACAAUACCUUAGAGUUUAGGCUUCUUCGCUACCGGUUGGCUCAUAAAGAGAGUCGGCCCUCUCAUUGCUUUACGUGCUUGCUCCCAUUACCUCCCCUACCGUUUGCUAUCCUUUGGCUUACCUUUGCUUUUAGGUUCGGAUCUUAUUGUUUAGGUGUAGCCCAUGACCAUUAGAGAAGAACAAGAUUUCGCUGAUUAGCCAAGAUCGUAUGAAUCUGAUUGAUUGUACACUGAGGGAGAAGUCAAGUAACCCAUGAAUUUUCUUUUAGCGUGUGCAUUGUAUAGAGAAAAGUCAACAAAUGC
rnacentral:lncRNA from 1 species